AUUGAACGCUGGCGGCAUGCUUUACACAUGCAAGUCGAACGGUAACAGGCCUUCGGGUGCUGACGAGUGGCGAACGGGUGAGUAAUGCAUCGGAACGUGCCCAGAGGUGGGGGAUAACGCAGCGAAAGCUGUGCUAAUACCGCAUGUGAUCUGAGGAUGAAAGCGGGGGACCAGGCAGCAAUGUUUGGCCUCGCGCCUUUGGAGCGGCCGAUGUCAGAGUAGGUAGUUGGUGGGGUAAAGGCCUACCAAGCCGACGAUCUGUAGCUGGUCUGAGAGGACGACCAGCCACACUGGGACUGAGACACGGCCCAGACUCCUACGGGAGGCAGCAGUGGGGAAUUUUGGACAAUGGGCGCAAGCCUGAUCCAGCAAUGCCGCGUGCGGGAAGAAGGCCUUCGGGUUGUAAACCGCUUUUGUACGGAACGAAAAGGCUCUGGCUAAUACCUGGGGCUGAUGACGGUACCGUAAGAAUAAGCACCGGCUAACUACGUG
rnacentral:rRNA from 1 species